AGCUCCAAUAGCGUAUAUUAAAGUUGUUGCAGUUAAAAAGCUCGUAGUUGGAUUUCUGGCAGGAGCGGCCGGCCAUGCGCUCUGCGCGUGAGUUUGCGCUGUCUCUGGCCAUCCUCGGGGAGAUCGCGUUUGGCAUUAAGUUGUCGGGCGUGGGAUACCCGUCGUUUACUGUGAAAAAAUUAGAGUGUUCAAAGCAGGCUUAGGCCGUUGGAUACAUUAGCAUGGAAUAAUGAGAUAGGGCCACCGCGGUCUAUUUUGUUGGUUUGCACGUUGUGGUAAUGAUUAACAGGAACGGUUGGGGGUAUUCGUAUUCAAUUGUCAGAGGUGAAAUUCUUGGAUUUGUGGAAGACGAACUACUGCGAAAGCAUUUACCAAGGAUGUUUUCAUUAAUCAAGAACGA
rnacentral:rRNA from 1 species